rnacentral:misc_RNA from 1 species
AAUGAGCAGAGCAGAAUCUAUUCGCGCUACGAUUGUGGCGUUUCAGCGUAGUUCGACAUCAGUUCCAUUCAGUUCCGAGUUUCGAGAAGUUGCGUCGUUGACUGACGUUCGGCAGGCACUUCCUUCACGUUCUCGUUUGUUGUGUUGUUUUAUUUAUUACGGGGUGAAAAACAUUUUUGAAAUCGGGGUGGUGGUGCGAGAACGACGGUGCCCCGAUCAAAAAAAAAGCAAGAAAUCCAAAUGAACACGGAUUUAUGGCGACGCGGACACUUCAACUCUGCCUUGUGUUUGCAGUAGGAUUUUACAGGGGCCCUGUGCCAGCUUCAGCAGGAUCAAACAGGGCCGUGCCGAUAGAGCCGGCAACAAAUCAGGCCAAUACCAGACCCAAUGUGACCCUAUGGUUCUCGGAGGAACCGAGUGACGUCAUCGUAACGCGUGGACAGGACGCCAUCUUAAGAUGCGUGGCAGAAUCUACCACAGGAAACGUCACAAUUGUGUGGCUCCACGAAAACUCCCCCGUGUCACCGGAGGACCAAAGAUGGCUGAUCCGGGGCUCAGUUUUGAAGGUGCUGACCGUCAACGGGGGUAAAAGGGGGUCCCUCGGGAAAUUUAAUACCGGCGAAUACAGUUGUUUGGCGAAGAACAGUUACGGGGCGAUUUUGUCUAGGGUCGCUAGGGUCAGGGUCGCUUCAAUAGACAAAGAAAUCACCAUAAAAGGUGACGAUACAGUGCUACAGUCGCAACCGUUGUAUCUACAGUGUAACAUCCAUUCGAUCCCCCUAGCGGAGAUCCACUGGGAGUUCAAUAAUCUACCUCUAACGAAUGACAAACGAUAUGUUCCUUUGCCUCAUGGCGCUUUGUUAUUAAGAAACACUAAUUUAGAUGACUCAGGAAACUAUAGAUGUGUAGCUACCAACUCGAUUCUCGAAAAAAACAAGACUAAAGACUUUCACGUAAACGUCUUAGUACCUGGCCAAGCAGCGAUGACUCCCUCUAUCAUUAUAGCAAACACUUCCAACAGUCGACUGUUGGUAGAGGGAGAUAGCAUCGAAUUUAUUUGUAUAGCCACUGGGUGGCCUUUGCCUACAGUAAAAUGGAUCAACAGUAAAAAUGCUUCGAUAAGUAACUCUUCUUCCAGUUCGAUAUCUUAUUUGACGUUUAAAAACGCUGAUAUAAACGAUUCCGACAAUUACACUUGUGUCGCUUCCAAUGGGAUAGAGCGAGUAAGCGAGACUGUCAACGUUCAAGUUUAUCAGAGGCCUUUUUUUAAUGUUACGCCGGUUUCGGUCGUUUCGCCAUCGGCUAGAACAGUCAGGAUGGAUUGUCAAGCCGUCGGGGUUCCUCAGCCCAAAAUAACUUGGCUCAAAGACGGACAUCCCUUAAAACCGGAAGUGCGAAUCAGAAAACAAGCGACUGGAAUUGUGUUUACCCAUACCCUUUCCACAGACACCGGUGUUUAUCAGUGCGUAGCGGCUAAUCCGGUGGGAAAAGUGUGGUCAACCGCCCAAAUCGAGAUAAAUAAUUCCCAAAGUCCCAGUCCGCCCGAAAACGUCCAAUGUAGGCCUUACGACGAGGAUAAAAUUUGUUUAACGUGGAAAAACCCGGCUAAUGCCACCGUGAAGGCCUAUAGCAUAUAUUCCUCUUAUAUCAAUUCCGAAGGUUUAGACGUACUGGGCGAAGAAUACUUAAUACCAGUGGACCCCACAAAGAAACCACCGAUAGCAGACAAUCCUCAUAAGAUGGUCGAAGGUUUGCAUCCGAACACUAAUUACACGUUUUUCGUGAGGUUAUAUACGAAUAAAGCGAGCGAUUACGCUAAGAAAGUAACGUGCCAACCAGGAUUAAAAGGGUCCAGAAAUCUGGAAAUAGAAACGAUAAAUAAAACGGCAUUGGCCCUGAAAUGGUCGGAAAUUAGUUCGGAUAUACUUUGUAAUGGAACUCGAGAUCCUUAUGUCGUCCAGUGGUAUUUGGACGGGAGUAGCGAGCACGUUUUCACUUAUGUAACGUCACAAAGGAAUUUCAGUUUGUUUGGUCUUCUACCUGGAAACGAUUAUUGCAUCAACGUAGUAACACAAAACAACCCAAAAGGCGAACUCUGUACCCUCUACACGAUGCCGAGCCUCCAUAGCGAAGAAAACGACACCAUGGACGUAUCAGAAGAACUGAGAGCACCGCAGUACUUACUAGAAGACAGUACGAAUUCGACCAGUACGAAAAUAACCUGGGACAGAAUUCCGGGGGCUAAAUUUUACAGUUUGUGUUAUACAGAGGUGGGAGCGGACAGGAGGUGCGAGCAGGGAGACUUUUUCAAAAGCUAUUCGACCAAGUUUACCGUGACAAAAUUAAAACCGGAUACGGAGUACGUGUUUAGGGUGAGGGCACACGAUUCGAGCAACGCUCCCGGCAUUUUGUCCGAUGAAUUGAGGGUGCGCACAAGAGGAGAUGUGCCCUCACCGGUAACAAACCUAAAAUAUCUCGGCCUAAACUCUACGACCGUGUGUAUCUACUGGCGCCCUCCGUUAAUCAAGAACGGCAAAUUAAAGAACUAUCUGGUCUCGUACACCACCGACAAGAAUUGGUCUUUGGAGGGACUGGUGGACGUGAAUAUAUCCGCUAGCGAACAAACCAGUUCGGACAGCUGUAAAGGUGACGAAAACGAUGAUGUGUUAUCGAUGGUGUUGACUAAUUUAUCGAGCGAUCACACGUAUUUGGUGAUGGUGAGGGCGGAGAAUGCGGUCGGAUUGGGAAAACCGUCGCCGCCGAUUUUCGUGCGGAUUCUGGACGUUUCCGGUGGGGCUGAUGAGAUGAACGGCUCGGAUAUGGUUGCCAGUAACCAAAGAUUCGGUAUAAUCCUGGGAGUCCUAAUUUCAAUCUGCUGCAUCAUGUGUUGCGUAGCCCUAAUUUUGCUGCGACGACGCUGUAUGAAACGAAGAGCGUCGGCCAGGGAUCGAAUGGACGCCGCGAGUAAUUAUUGCCCCGCGGUAGCCCGAUAUACGACGCAUUUGGGUACUGUACAAGUGAGGGCGGAACAGCCGUGUUCAUUGAACGAACACGAGGUGGAGCAUUUGGUGCCCGAAGAACAUACCUCUCAUAUACCGCCGGUUACUGUGGACCAUCUGGAUACUAAGGGAGCCUCCAACUUACCGAACGGGUACAUGAACGGUUCUCACAAGCACCACGGAGCGAACGGACACGCAUUAACCGGACACGUGCACAUAACAGAAAACCCUCAAUUUUACGCUAUCGAAUGUAACGGAAACAACCUGUCGAAAAACAAAUCGGAGCCACUUCUACGCCGCUACGAGGAAGACUCCAAUUCCAACCUGAAAACCUCGAGAUUCCAAGAGUUUUACAAACUUUUCGACGCGAAAAAGUUCAACAACAAAGGGUCACCGUACGCCUCCCCCUGUUCCAAAUCCAAAGACGCCUCGUUGAACACCACCCAGAUCACUUUCCUGGACGAUUCCGCUACCAGUAGGAGACUCAGCCCGUUAUUGGAACCUAACGGUUAAAAGAGAUCAAUCAGAGAUAGGAGAGACGGGUCUGAUUCGAAAUAGGUGAGCGAUCAUCGGAACCAGCAACGAAGUUAUUUACACAUUGUAAUCGUAACAUUCCAUAGAACGACGGUGCCAGAUUAUCGACCGGAGUAUACUUAAAACACAAAGCAACAGAGAAUCUCAUUAACUGGGUUUUAACAGCUAAUUCGAGUUUAAAAGAUUUAUGAAAUAAAAUUGUACCUGACCUUUAUAACAUAUACACUUAGUAACAUUUUGUAUAGUUUAAGAUUUAAUUCGAGAGUUGUUUGUAUUGGUGUGUGUGUGUGAGUGAGUGCGUGAGGGUAUUUGUUAAGUGUUGUUAUUAGGUGGAGUGAGUGAGAGGGUUGUUUAUUAUAUUUUGAUGCCCUAUAGAAGAAUAUUUAUUUAACCAUUGUAUAUGAGAAUUGUAAUGUAUUCUAGGCAUGAAAAAUGUGGACAAUCAUACUAAGAGCCCUUAAAACGACAAAUACCGAGCAUCCUUAUGUGGGGAAUCGCAAUUUACUAUUAUGUCCAAGAGCAAUCCAUAUUAUACCAAUUCUCGAAUAUAAGUUAUAUGGAAUAUUUAUUAUACCGGACAGACAUAAUUUUUUUUAAUGCCUUAACAUUUUUUUUUUACAGUUUUUAAUGGUAUCAAAAUAUAAUUUAUAACCCUGUAUAUAGAUUCUGGGGAAAAUAUGUCAAACAUCUAGGUUUUUGUCAAAACAUCAUAGAGUGCAAAAUAAUUGCAGAUUCGUUAACAUCCUUCUAGUAAAUUUGAAAAAUACCAGGACAAAAUUAAUUUUAUAAAUUCCUCGUGUAUUAAUCAAAAAAAGAUAAAUAUGUGUAAAGCUCUAGAUGGGUUAUAACAAUUUUUCUCAAAAAAUCGAUUGUCUUUUCUUGGUUUCCUGUAAUAUACAAUAGGUUUGUUUCUUCUUGGUUUAUGAACGUUAUUUUGUAAUUUUCUAGGCAUUGGUAGUAACUUCCAGGCAUUUAAAGCCACUUCUUCUUUUUAAACUGUUAAUCGUUUCUUAACCCAAUGGCGAAGGCUCCAUAUUAUCAAAAAGUUCUCGUUUCUAGUGGAAAGCUUUCAUGUAAGUACUGUAACUCUGCUUAAUUGCUUGACUAGUCGCGACCGAUUUACUUGUAUACUUUGUCUUGAUUAAAUAAUGAAUGCGCCCCUUAUUCUCAAUUCUAGGCAUAUAGGGUAAUUUUUUAAUAUAUUCCAGGCUCUUGAGACAAUUUUGUAAGUAUUUAGCCUGGGCAAAGUAAUAGAAAACUUCCAUAUUCCUGAAUAAUAGAAUAAAUUCUGCCAGGUCUUUGUUUCAGAUAGUAUUAGUUGAAAAAAGUUCAAUUUCGACAUCGUCCAAUUCUGCCGUACAAAGCAUCAAAGUGGCUUACUACAAUUAAGUUAUAUACGAAAAAAUCAAGUUCUGGUUUUUUAUUUUGUAUUAAUUCUUUCAUGCAUUGAUAUUAUUAAGAAACAAUACUGAUUUUGGUAAAAUAAAAAGAAUAGUGACUUGUAGGAUUCCAUAAAGAAUCAGUUGAUGUACAAAGACUUCUAUGCUUUGGAGGGCAAAAUUGUAAAAAUUGGUGAUUUAUCCAUUUUUUCAAUAAACAUGCCUGGCCAAAACUAAAAAUUCCAUCAACUGCCUGGAAGAAAUUAUUAAGUUUCCAGUUGUCUAAUAGAAAUCAAACCGCGAUUGCUGUUGUUAUUUGGUCUAGGCAUUCGAAGUCCCAUUUUACAUCUUCCAGAUAGUUUUUACAUCAUUCCAGCGUUUAAAAGCUAUUUUUUAUGUUAUGCAGGCUUAUAGAGUAAUAUGGUGUAUCUUCCAGGCAUUUUCUAUAUAUUUCACACUUUGGGGGUCAUUUUUUACUGAAGGGUAAAUUUUAAGGUAAUUCCAGGAUUUUCAAUUUUCUUCCUGGUUUGUCAAGAGUUUUCCUGUCAACCCGCUUGACAUUAUUUUGGAAUUUUCCAGGUAUUCAAAGCCACUUCUUCCUCGUUUUGUUCUGGAGGGUCAAUUUUGCAUCGUUUCUUGACCCAAUGCUAAUUAUUAAAAAAAUAUCAUUACUAGCAGAAAGAUUUUAUGUAAUUAACUCUAACUCUGCUUUGAUGUGUUUCAGCCCAAUUGUCUUGGUAGUCAAGGCCGAUUUCCUUGCAUACUUUGUCUUGAUUAAAUGGUGACGUCUUCCCUUUAUUAAAAUUCUCAAUUCCAGGCAUAUAGGGUAAUUUUUUAAUAUAUUCCAGGCUUUUGAGGCAAUUUCGUAAGUAUUUAUCCUAGGCAAAGUAAUAGGAAACUUUCAUAGUCCUGAAUAAUAGAAUAAAUUCUGCCAGGUCCUGGAAUGAAUCAUUACAGUUCAUGUUUCAAAUAGUAUUAGUUGGAAAAAGUUAAAUUUCGGAAUCACUCAAUUCUGCCAUUCAGCAUCAAAGUGGCUUACUACAAUUAAGUUAUAUACGAAAAAAUCAAGUUCUGGUUUUUUAUUUUGUAUUAAUUCUUUCAUGCAUUGAUAUUAUUAAGAAACAAUACUGAUUUUGGUAAAAUAAAAAGAAUAGUGACUUGUAGGAUUCCAUAAAGAAUCAGUUGAUGUACAAAGACUUCUAUGCUUUGGAGGGCAAAAUUGUAAAAAUUGGUGAUUUAUCCAUUUUUUCAAUAAACAUGCCUGGCCAAAACUAAAAAUUCCAUCAACUGCCUGGAAGAAAUAAUUAAGUUUCCAGUUGUCUAAUAGAAAUCAAACCGCAAUUGCUGUUGUUAUUUGGUCUAGGCAUUCGAAGUCCCAUUUUACAUCUUCCAGAUAGUUUUUACAUCAUUCCAGCCUUUAAAAGCUAUUUUUUAUGUUAUGCAGGCUUAUAGAGUAAUAUGGUGUAUCUUCCAGGCAUUUUCUAUAUAUUUCACACUUUGGGGGUCAUUUUUUACUGAAGGGUAAAUUUUAAGGUAAUUCCAGGAUUUUCAAUUUUCUUCCUGGUUUGUCAAGAUUUUUCCUGUCAACCCGCUUGACAUUAUUUUGGAAUUUUCCAGGUAUUCAAAGCCACUUCUUCCUCGUUUUGUUCUGGAGGGUCAAUUUUGCAUCGUUUCUCGACCCAAUGCUAAUUAUUAAAAAAAUUAUUACUAGCAGAAAGAUUUUAUGUAAUUAACUCUAACUCUGCUUUGAUGUGUACCAGCCCAAUUGUCUUGGCUAGUCAAGGCCGAUUUUCUUGCAUACUUUGUCUUGAUUAAAUGGUGACGUCUUCCCUUUAUUAAAAUUCUCAAUUCCAGGCAUAUAGGGUAAUUUUUUAAUAUAUUCCAGGCUUUUGAGGCAAUUUCGUAAGUAUUUAGCCUAGGCAAUUAAUAGGAAACUUUCAUAUUCUUGAAUAAUAGAAUAAAUUCUGCCAGUUUAGGUUUUGUUAUUUUGUUUUGUAUUAAUUCUCUCAUGCUAAACUUGCAUUGAUAUUGAUUGAUUAAAACUCAUAGUAAACUUUGCAUUGACACUAUUAACAAACUAUACUUGUUUUAUAAAAUAAAAAGAAUAGUGACUGGUAGAAUUUCAUAUAAACCAUUGAUAUACUCAAUUUUAACAAAAAAGUGAAUUAACCACUUUUAUGCUUUGGACGGCAGAAUUGUAAAAAAUCAAUGAACAUGCCUGGACGAAACCAAAAAUUACUUCAAUUGCCUGGAAGAAAUAAUAUAGUUUCCAUUUGUGUGGAUAUUAGAAAACAUACCACAAUUUCCUGGAUGAAAACUCGUAAGCUCUGACUUAAAAAUUAGAGAUUUUAGGCCAUAGCUUUAUUUGAGCUUUUCUUUCUUAUUCCGUAACGCCCUGUAUAAAAUAAGUACUGCAAUCUCCUGGAAAAAAUCAGUACAAUGCAUUAUUCCAGACAGUGUUGAAAAAGUGAACUUUUUAAACCAUUUUAGUGUGAAAAUUCUUGCAUUUUUUAGUUUUUUAGUAAACUGCCUGAAUGCAACGAGAAAUCAGUCCAACUUCCUGGAAGAAAUCACUACAACUCACUUAUCUUUCUAUUAGGUCUUGUGGACAUUCCAAAAAAGUUCUUUCACAUUUCUAGCAUUAUUUCGUAAAUCUUCAAGGCAUUUUCAAUGUAUUCAAGGCUUUCAGAAGUGUUCCCUCAAUGAUUCCAGGCAUACGAAGUCCUUUUUCUAAUAUUGAGAGCAGUACAAUUCAUUUUUUAUUGCUAACAGACUUUUGGAAUAAUUUUUAACGCAUUUUAAGUGAAUUAUUAAAGCUACUACUAUCCCUGGACUUUUAAAUUAAUUUCUUAUAAAUUCCAGGCUUUUGGAGCGAUUAUCCAUUUUGUUCCUGUGAAGUUAUAUCGUUUUUUCUUCCAGGAUUCUACUUUUUCCAGGUUCAAUGUUUUAUAUAUUUGGGCACCUAUUGCCUUUACUAGUGAAGACUGAUUUCCAUGCAUACUUUCUCUCGAUUAAAUGGGGGAGGCGCCCCAUUAUUAACAUUCUCAAUUCCAGGCAUGUAAGGUCGUUUUUUAUAUAUUAAAAAUAUACGGGGUGUUACAAAAUAAGAUCUAGAAGAAAAGUCAAAUAAAGAUAUGUCCAAAAUUCCUUAACUUUUGAGCUACAGUGUUCAUCUUAAAAAAAGUAACCUAAUCGUUUAAGUACACCUAGAACUUCUUGAAUUAGAUUUGUUAUAUUUUAAUGGCAAAAUAAUGAAAAAAUUAUUAAAUAAAUAAAUUUAAUAAUUUUUUCAAGUAAUAAAUUGACGAAAAAAUUCAAAAAAUCAAAUUUGCUUCAAAAACUGAAUGGGGGUUAUGAAGAUAUUUGUUAUUUUACGGAAAAGCAAUGGCGUACAUAAUAUUUUUCAAAAAUAUCAAGUCAACGUUCCCGUACGGACACCACAGGCUAAAGUUUAAAAAUCUCUUACAUGAAAAAAUGGCUGUAGAUACUCACAACGGGUAUGUGCUAAAUUUCUCAAACAAAUGUAAGAAAGUUCAAAAAUUAAGAAGACACAGCUUUAAUUGAACUUUUAUUGUUAAAAUGACCUAAGGAUCAGUAACGUCCUGUAUACAAUAAAUACCGCAAUUUCCAGGAAGAAAUCAUUACAAUUCAUUGUUAAAAAAGUGAGUCUUAAAUAAUAAUAAUAAUAACGUUUAUUAAUUCCCAAUACAAUUAACAAUUCAAGAUGUACAUUGCUGUAAAUGAUAAUAAUAUAAUUAUGGGAUUAAAUGGCCUACUUUUCAGCAUCCUAUAAAUUAAGAAGGGGCUGUUGAAGCUACGAAGUGAGCUGUUUAUUUAUUUUUGAUUUUUUUUUAUAAUCAUAUGUAUAAGAAUCUAUUUACAAAAUAAACAGGGAGAAAGAGAGAAAUAGAACAGAAAGAGAGAUCGAAAGAAAACAAGGCUUAAAAAAAGAAGAGGAAGAGAGACGAGAUAACACUAUAAAUGCAGCGUUCACACGUCACAUAUUGUCUAAUUAAAUAGGUUACAUAUUAAACAAACAAAUCAUUUUGUUAUGAAAAUUCUUGCAGCUUUUCAAUGUACUGCCUGGACUAAACAAGGAAUCAAUCCAACUGCCUGGAAGAAAUACUAAAUUUUCCAGUUGCCUGGAUAACAUAAAUGAUACCUGGAACAAAUCACUGCAACUCAUCAUCAUUCCAAAAGGUCUUUUGAAUAUUCGAAAGAAGCCUUUAGGGGUCAUGCAGACUUUUAUACUAUCUCGUGUGUUUUCCAGGAAUAUUCAAGGCGUUUCCUGAAUUUAUUCCAGGCAUCUGAAGUUCUUUUCUUAAUAUUCAAAGCAGUUGAAUUAAUCGUUUUUCUUCCAUGUGUUUUUUAAGUCAUAUUAAGAUUUUAGGAGUAAUUUUUACCUUUAUUUAACCUCUUCAGUCCCAAGGAAUUGUUUUACUUUUUUUUUGUGAAACUUUUAAUAAAAUAGGUUUAUUAGGAUUUUAAAAAAAAAUUUACAAAAAAAAAAUACUACAGAAAAAAAUAUGACAUGUCCAGUAUUUUGGACAAUUGGACUUAAGUCUCUAAUUAUGAAACUCAAAAAAACAUUGCCUCUCUGGAGAAAUGCAUAAAUAAAGCUUACAUUUCACACAAAAAAAUCUUGUUUUCUUUUGUUGUUGGAAUUUUUGUUAUUAACACUGCAUAUUGGAAGAUGUUCAUUACCAGUGGUCCUGACAUCUUUUGGUGGCAUCUCCGACUUCUUGCAUUUUUUAGCAGGUUGACUUGUUUCUUCAUCUAAUGAAGUAGUUAGAUCUUGAAAACCUUUUGCUUGUGCCCCAAGGGAAGAGAUUUCCCGAUAUACAGUUUAAAUUCAAGUAAAUCCAUGAUAGAGUUUUUUCUAUUUCCACGAGCGAAGUAGUUUUGGCGGUAUUCAACCCACGAAUUUGUAAUUGCCAAGUCCACAAAAUGCUAGAAAACUCUUACCGGCCAUUUUUUUGUUCGCAUACAAAUGCGAUAGUAAGAUAUUAGUCUAUCACACAUGUCCACUCCUCCCAUAGAAUGGUUGUAACUAGUGACAGACUUUGGACAUGAAACAAGAAGGUACUUAUUAUUUUUCUUGUCCCAUCUUCGUACUUCUCUACUGGCGCAGAGCCUGAAGAUGUUGAUGCCAUUGUUACUGAUCUAUUGUCCAUCCAUUUCAGAAUGGUCAUUUUUUUGUCUUCUCGCAUAAACUCGUCAAAAGAACCACGGCCAUUCGAGAGGAGCUCUUUAUCAUUUUUUAUUUUGCUCCUAAGAUCUCGCGGAAUUCUGUUGUUCAUAAUUGUCCCUGUUCCCAAAAUUCCUUUUUUUGUAAAUGAUCCAGUAGCUUGACUGAAGUAAAGUAACGAUCAAAAUAAAUUAUGUGCCCUGGCGACAAAUCUUCUGAAAGCUUCUUUACAACCGAUCCACCUAUUCCUAAAUUUUGAUCGGGAGAACCAUCUGGCCAAGUUUUUGCACCUUGAUAAAUCAUAAAAUCUGAAACCAGUCCGGAAGGUGUAGCUAAAACAAAAUUUUUGAGUCCUACUGCAUUUGGCUUGUUUUUAACGUCGGAGAGCAGUAGUGCCUGUGAAGGGGAUCAUCUGCUCGUCGAUGCUCAAUUCUUUGCUCUUUGGUAAAGUAAUACACUUUUUACGAAUCGCAUCGAUGAUAGGUUGAACUAUCCAUAGCCGAUUUGACUGCUUUACCUCAUUUGAAACACUAAGAUUGCUAACAACAUGUAGAAAAUUUCUUAAUUUAAAAAUACGGUCUCUAGGUAGCUGAGUAAUGCAAGAUAUUUCAAUUCCCUUCAUAAAAUACAACCGAAGCCGUGGAAGUCCAAAAAUGCUCAUUAAAAUAUGUAUUCCAGUCAACAUUCGAUAUUCUUUGGCUGUUGCCUUUAGUGUUUUUUUUUUCAUUUGCUUGCAUGGCACGAAUAUUACUUUCUUCUGUUCUGAUAAAUUUUCCCAAAAAUAAUCUGGAAGGUAUUCAUAAAAAUAGUUCAGGGGUGUCCCAUACUCAUGAUCAUCUUGUAACUGCCAUUCCGGAUCAAGGUAGACAUCUUCUCGACUUUCAAAAACAUUUCUUUUCCAUUUUACUUCUGCGGUUUUAUUUUUUAUUUGCUCCUGGAGAACCUGCUCUUUUAUUCUGGAUAAGGGAACAUUAUCGUCAUCAGACUCCUCUUCAAUGGUAUCAGAAACCGAAUCUGCGUCUGCCGGCGCCGGCUCGUCGUCUUCAUUAUCAUUUGCCUUAAUUGAUUCACUGUUUUCGGUGGUGAUUUCCUCAUCAUCAUCGCUCACGUAGAAGUCACUGUCAUUUAGAAUCUCUUCAACAUCUUUAUCCGUCAGUGGUUGCAUACCAUCUUAAAAAAAAACGAAAUAAUAACAACAAUAAAAUUUAAAAUUUUUGGGUAAAAAGUAAAAACUUGAACUAAAUACAGUCCCGACGCGACGUCCAAAAUACUGCACAAAAUCAAAAGCCGAACAAUCUGUAUGCACGUCCAGUCCGCUGCACGGCGGGCUCCAAAUCACGUUAAGUCGUCGUGAGCCCGUACUAAUAUAUUUUGAAAAAUGUACAGCGGGCUGGACGUGUGAACUGAAGAGGUUAUUUCAUUUCAAGCGAAUUACUACAGUUACUCCAAUUCCUGAAGUUUUGAAUUUAUUUCUUAUAAAUUCCAGGCUUUUGGACCCAUUUUCCAUUUUAUAUAACUUCCUUUCUUCCAGGAAUGCCAAUGUUCUUUUCUACAUUUUCCUAUAUUUUUUAAUAUAUUUCAGCCCUUUUAAGGUCAUUUUGUAUGUCUUCCACACUAUUAGGGAAACUUUAAUUUAUUCCCGGAAUUUGGGCUUUCUUCCUCGUCUGUGUAGUAUUUUGGGGCAUUUUGGUGCUAUUUUUUACAAUUUCAAGAAGUCCUGAUGUAUUAAACAAAAAUGGUUAUAAAAUGCAAAGUGAUAAAUAAUGUCUUGCUCUACUAUAGUUUAUUUAUGAACGACUGAAAAUUUGAAUGACAUAUUUGCCUCAAAGUCGAUAUACCACCACCUCUGAACCUAUUAAAAUACUAUUCUAGUUAUAAUAAGAGAGAAAAAAAAGCGGUGUUGAUUGUUCAAAAUGAAAAAAAAAAUUAUAAACGUUACCAUAUUUAUUAUUAUAUAGGCGUCGCUGUUUGUCAGUGUUUUUUGAACGUUAUGUGUUCAGAUAUCUGUGUAGUAUUUACAAUGGUAUUGUAUUUUGUAGAUGUACUCCCCCUCCCCCUCGAUUACCCAAAGAUAUACAGGAGGUUUUAGGUAGGUCAAAAGUCCUUUGUCGGUGUGAAUUAGAAAUGAAUUAUUAAUAUCUGGUACAUGAGGUACAUAUCUGAAUUAUUAGGACAGUCGAGAAGUGCCUUUUGCCCGCCUAAAAAUUAAAAAAAAAAAGCCACAAACAAAAGCAGUUCCUACUACGAAAUUUCAGCUCUCGAUACCGUCAAUUUCUAGACUGAAAAGUAGGAAUUUUUACAAUAUGAUAUUAAAAAAAAAAAAAGAAACAUUUUUGUUCGAUAACACCUAUGGUGUGCCUUUAUAAUGUACAAAAUAAUACUUAAUAUUAACGUUUUUUGACAACGAUUUAGUUAUUUAUAUUUAUUUGUGUGUAUAUACAUAUAUAUAAUAUUAUUAUAUCGUUUUAGAUUGUAUUCGAAUAUUAUUAAUUGAAGCCUUGGGAUUGUUUCGCUUCGUUACAUACCACAACGUUUUUUUCUUUUUAGUUCCUAUGUUAUGCACAGUUGUACUAUUUAUAUUAUAAUUUCACCAGUUUUUUUUUUAGUUUGAAUACAAUCUCAAAAAAAAAGUUUUGAGUAAAAAAAGGAAGAAAAUUGAAACAAAAUGCUCAAAUAACAAUACUUUAUUAAUAGAAAAGAGUGUGUAAGUACAUAGAUGUUAGUUUAAUAAAAAAGAUACGGUUUUCUUAGGCCGAACUUUAGGGUUUGGUGGAUUAGUAGCAGUUUACCUCAAGACAUACACAUUCCCAUAUUAUUUUAUGUUAAAGUUUCUGAGUUUUAUUAAUGAAUUUUAAGCCUGUCUAGAAGGGGUUGUUUAUAGUAGUAUAAACUAAUAAUAUGUACCUUAAAAAUAAGCCACUAUCAAAAUCAGAAGAUCAGUCUGCAUCAAGAAGAAUUUAAUUGUAUUUUUUGAGGUAUCAGUUACUGCACUCAAUUUUUUUUAAAACCUACUGGAGAAACUUAAAUUGCCACAUCUU